rnacentral:lncRNA from 1 species
UGGUUAUGCAGGCUUGUAGUCUCAGCUACUCAGGAGGCUGGGGUGGGAAGAUUGAGCCCAGGAGUUCAAAGCUGCAGUAAGUUGUGAUCAUACCACUGCACUCCAGCCUGUGUACCAGAACAAGGCCCUGUCUCCAGAAAAAAAAGUGAUGAUGUAGGACAUAAGGUGGAAGAGGAACUAUGAAGGGCCUUAUAUUCCAGGCUAAAAAUUAGGUGCUGACGUCAUAAGCCAAAGCAGGAGAGACCCAGACUCUGUGGACAGGCAGUGUGGACCUAGACUGCCUGGGUUUGAAGCCUCACUCUGCCAAUCACCAGGUGUCCCACCUUUUCCAAGUUACUUAACCUCAUCUCCAAGACAUGCCCAAUCACAAAGCCUACUUCAUAAAAUGGAGGGUUAAUUAAAUUAAUGUUCAUGAAGCCUUUAGUGGGUACGUGGUAAGCUCAAUGAUUAUUAGUUAAUAAUAUCCUUAUUAAACGUCCAGUAAGUCUUUUUUAAAUGUUAUUUUCUUUGAGAAAGGGUCUCACUCUGUCACCCAGGCUGGUUUGCAAUGGCACCAUCAUGGCUUACUGUAGCCUAGACCUCUUGGGCUCAAGCAAUUCUCCCAUCUCAGCCUCCCAAGUUGCUGGGACUGCAGGUGUAUGCCACCACACCUGGCUAAUUUUUGUAUUUUUGGUAGAGACAGGGUCCACCCACCUUGGCCUCCCAAAGUGCUAGAAUUACAGGUGUGAGCCACUGCACCCGACCCCAACAGAGUUUUGGGGUUUUUUGUUUUGUUUUUUUUUUUUUGAGACGGAGUCUCGCUCUG